AGAAGGAGAGAUAGAAAGAAAGAUCUAAAAUGGAUGCUCUAACCACUAGAGUAAAUAAGGCAGAAGAGAGAGGUAGUGACAUAGAAGA